rnacentral:rRNA from 1 species
UACGGAGGGAGCUAGCGUUGUUCGGAAUUACUGGGCGUAAAGCGCGCGUAGGCGGCUUUGUAAGUUAGAGGUGAAAGCCCGGGGCUCAACCCCGGAACUGCCUUUAAGACUGCAUCGCUUGAAUCCGGGAGAGGUGAGUGGAAUUCCGAGUGUAGAGGUGAAAUUCGUAGAUAUUCGGAAGAACACCAGUGGCGAAGGCGGCUCACUGGACCGGUAUUGACGCUGAGGUGCGAAAGCGUGGGGAGCAAACAG